rnacentral:rRNA from 1 species
GACAGAGGGUGCAAACGUUGUUCGGAAUUACUGGGCGUAAAGCGCGUGUAGGCGGCUAAGUAAGUCGGGCGUGAAAUCCCACGGCUCAACCGUGGAAGUGCACUCGAAACUGCAUAGCUAGAGUCCUGGAGAGGAAGGUGGAAUGCUUGGUGUAGAGGUGAAAUUCGUAGAUAUUGGGAGGAACACCGGUGGCGAAGGCGACCACCUGGACGGAGACUGACGCUGAGGCGCGAAAGCGUGGGGAGCAAACAGG